ensembl:misc_RNA Metazoa_SRP Metazoan signal recognition particle RNA
UCAGUGUGAUGGCACACACCUGUAAUCCCAGCUACUUGGGAGGUUGAGGCAGGAAGAUCGCUUGAGACCAGGAGUUAUGGGCUGUAGUACAUUAUGCUAAUUGGGUGUCCACACUAAGUUUGGCAUCAAUACAUUGACCUCCCAGAAGCAGGGGACCACCAGUUUGCCCAAGAAAGGGUGAACUAGUCCUAGAAGGAAAUGCAGCAGGUCCAAACUCUUGUGCUAACCAAUAGUGGGAUCAUGCAUUUGAGUAGCCACUGCACUCCAGCUUGAGUGCUAUAGCAAAACUCCAUUUAU